GCGUAAUUGCGCGGGGAUAAACCCUACACACACUGUGUAGUUUUUUUGAAAUUUGCUUUGGGGGCAUCAGCCUAGGUGCGUGCCCAAAGGUCUAAACACCUUUUUUUUAAUGUUAAAACCUUUAACCAAUAGUCAUGAAAAUUUUUAACAAAAAUUAAAAUCUUCAAAACUUUCAACAACGGAUCUCUUGGUUCUCGCAACGAUGAAGAACGCAGCGAAAUGCGAUACGUAUUGUGAAUUGCAGAUUUUCGUGAAUCAUCGAAUCUUUGAACGCACAUUGCACCCUCUGGUAUUCCAGAGGGUAUGCCUGUUUGAGCGUCAUUUCUCUCUCAAACCUUCGGGUUUGGUAUUGAGUGAUACUCUGUCAAGGGUUAACUUGAAAUAUUGACUUAGCAAGAGUGUACUAAUAAGCAGUCUUUCUGAAAUAAUGUAUUAGGUUCUUCCAACUCGUUAUAUCAGCUAGGCAGGUUUAGAAGUAUUUUAGGCUCGGCUUAACAACAAUAAACUAAAAG
rnacentral:rRNA from 1 species